CACUGAUGUUUCCUAUAUGUAUCUCUAUAAGGAUGGAACUGCUGUACAAAUUAAAGUGUGGAACAGCAGGAUUCGUGAGGUCAUUUUUACCCUUUCAAAGGUACACGUGGGAGAUUCUGGCAGCUACAGCUGUGUUGUCAUUAGUUCAAAAUCUAUUUCCCGUAACAUGACAAAACCGCAAGGCAAUAAUGCUAUUGACCUUCAGGUACAUGGAAAAGGGGGCAUACAGGAAGUGAUGGUGGGUUUGGUAAUUUUGCUACUGAUAGUGCCAAUGCUACUGGGACUAUGGUGUUCCAGGCUACAUUUCAAACAAGCAGCAUGCAAAAAGUGCACCGAAAGUGAAGUUUUGGAUGACUUCGUUGAAUAUGCUGAAGUUGAUGAGUGUGAAGG